rnacentral:rRNA from 1 species
GACGAACGCUGGCGGCGUGCCUAAUACAUGCAAGUGGGACGCAAGAGAACACACUGUGCUUGCACACCGUGUUUUCUUGAGUCGCGAACGGGUGAGUAACGCGUAGGUAACCUGCCUAUUAGCGGGGGAUAACUAUUGGAAACGAUAGCUAAUACCGCAUAAUAUUAAUUAUUGCAUGAUAAUUGAUUGAAAGAUGCAAGCGCAUCACUAGUAGAUGGACCUGCGUUGUAUUAGCUAGUUGGUAAGGUAAGAGCUUACCAAGGCGACGAUACAUAGCCGACCUGAGAGGGUGAUCGGCCACACUGGGACUGAGACACGGCCCAGACUCCUACGGGAGGCAGCAGUAGGGAAUCUUCGGCAAUGGACGAAAGUCUGACCGAGCAACGCCGCGUGAGUGAAGAAGGUUUUCGGAUCGUAAAGCUCUGUUGUAAGUCAAGAACGUGUGUGAGAGUGGAAAGUUCACACAGUGACGG